rnacentral:lncRNA from 1 species
GAAAUUGAACCAUGUAUCAUAGGUUUAUUAGGGGAAAAAAGUUAUACUUCAAGACCAUAUAUUUGGCACUGUACUGAAGCAAAAAUAUGUGAGUGAAAUUAAAAUGUUAAAACCCAAAUCACCAUGAAAAAGAAAAUGCUCUUUUAAUCAUUUUAAUUCCCUUUUUUGCCCCCAUACAAUUUAAAAUAACUACAGGAAGCAACUCAAGGAGUGUUAAACUUAUGCUACAUGUAAGCUGGAACAAGAGUGAAAGAUGGACCAGGGACUGGAUCUGUACCCCAGGUUAUUGCUACUCUCCCAGGCUGCCAGAUCAGGCGAGUCUUACUAACGUGAGCAAAGGUUCUUGAGACAUUACCAUGCAACAUCAUUGCAAGCUUCCAAAUGCCUUCUAAAAAAUAAUCAUUACACCUUUCAUUCAUGUCACUUUCUGCUUUCUGGUCUGCUUGGAAGAGAUGUUGGUAGUAUUUAAAAAGAAUUGUAUCGUAAUUUGUCCCCAUAGUCAAAUGAGCUUCCUGCUAGUUGACUCCUGUAUUGGUGGCUUGGGCUUCUUUUUGGAGAGCAAAUAAGUUAAAAGCAGUUCCUAAUUUCCAAAUUACUCAUCCUAUGCCUCCGCACAGUAAUGUGAAAGAUACUGACAAGGAAUAAAUAACAUACAAAAUAAGAUGAGAAUGGAUUGAAGGAAAGCUGCACUAAAACUUUUAAAUAGUAAAGGAUAGAAAGCUUAACUGAUGCUGAUGAACUGCUGGGUAUGUGUUUUUGCUGGACUAUACAGUGCCACUCUAACAUGGAUAGAGGAGUAGAAACCGAUUGAAUGUCCAGUCCAAAGGCUGCCAAGGAAGUGGGAUACAGGUCUUGAUCAAUAAUUCAAAUGUUACAUCAACAGUACUCACAAGAAGAAUACAGCUCUUUCCUUGGUUAAUAUAUUUUGCAUAGCAAUAUUUCAAAGAAUUAACAGCACCUUUUACAUAAAAAUUCCAAACAUAUUUAUCUAGUGAACAAUAAGAUCUCAGCAUCUCUAAGAAGUAUUUCUGCAGAUGUACAGUACUGUAUUUAUAUAGAUAUAGAUACAGAUAUAUCUCAAAGUGAAUUUACACUGUGACCUGGUGAUUAGUCCAGCAGUGGAUGAACCCACAGGGUAAGUCUUCAGGAGAAUAUACUGCCUUUGGUGGGUGGCCAGUUACAUGGCAUGAUUGCAUAGGGGAGCCCCAUCGGGCAGCAAAAGACAGUUUAGCAUCCCAUUAAGCAAGCACAGCAUGCUUAGGUCGUUCCUGUAAGAUAUAAUAAACUUCCAAAUUUUCAUGGCUAAUACAGUUCUAAUUUUCACAAGUUGCACACAUUGCAACCUUCUCUUUGUGCCUUAAAGACACAGAAGAGGAAGGAAAGAAGGAAACUUAUAUCCUAUCCCUGCUUCCAAACAGAAAUCAAGUAGCACCACAGAUUUAGGCUGGUAAGAGGUGUCCA